UACGUAGGGGGCUAGCGUUGUCCGGAUUUAUUGGGCGUAAAGAGCGUGUAGGCGGCCAGGUAGGUCUGCUGUGAAAACUCGAGGCUCAACCUCGAGACGUCGGCGGAAACCAUCUGGCUAGAGUCCGGAAGAGGAGAGUGGAAUUCCUGGUGUAGCGGUGAAAUGCGCAGAUAUCAGGAAGGAACACCCGGUGGCGAAGGCGGGCUC
rnacentral:rRNA from 1 species